AAGAUUUGGAGUUUUGACCAUUAAUUCCACAUGCUGAUCAUUGAUUCAUCUCCCUUAACCUCAAUUUCACAAAAUCAGCAUCUUCUUUUGUCUCACUCAUCUCAAAUCCCAAAACAAAACCACUCCCAGAUUCAUAAAUAGAAACAUAAAACAUCAAACUCCGUGUGGCAUAGCAUAGGCUAAGGUUGUGUUGUAGUAUAUUUGCAAUCAACAGAAUCAUAUAUCAGAGGAUGAAGAUUGUUGUGAUGCUAUUGCUACCGCCCUUGAUGUUUGCACUGUUUUUUUCAUGCACGAGUUCAUUGGCAGUAUCCACAAACACAAGUACCACAUGCCCCAUGGACUUGAAUUACGUUCUGAGAAUCCCAUGGAACACUUCUGCCUGCCAUAACUUCCAACAAACUCUGGCGGCUAAAAACGGAACCGACGCAAACACAUGUUGCAUCUCUCUCUUGUCCCUCUUCGGAAUAGGACUUGCAAAUCAUCUCAAGGAGACUUCUCAGUUCCAACUCCAAAACCUUGCCUCCUCACUUUCAUGCAUCAAAGACUUCCAAUCAAAGCUCUCUUCCCUCUCUCUCCCCAACAACCUCGUUGACACAUGCUUCGACCCUCUUCAGUUUGUGAUCUCCCCAAACAUCUGUGCUGGAAUUCAAACCAUCCCUGAUUGGACAAAAAAAGUUGGUCAGUCCACACCACUCAACACUGCUUGCAGAUCAGAUCUCACUGACAUCUCUCUCUGUGAUGUGUGUUUACAAGCUGGAUUGCAGGUCAAGCAGAAGCUUAUUUCCAUUGAUGGUAAUGCCUCACAUUCCAUUGAUUGUUUUUACUUUGCCAUUCUCUAUGCUGCUGGGAUUGUCAAUGAGUUUGGACCUGAAAGCAAUGGUGCUGUAAGUUGCAUUUUUAGCAUAUCAGUUUACUCACAAGGGGGCUCUGGGGGAAAGCGUCACCAGGCUCUUGUGUUUGGUUUGACAGGUGCCGGGGUUGCUUUGUUGGUCAUGUCUUCUUUUUUGGGGAUGUAUUCGUGGUAUGACAGGAAGCAUAGGAGGAAAAAGCUUGAGACUUUUAAUCAGUUUGAUUUUGACCCUGAGGAACAAGGUGGCUCUAGGCCUAGAUUGAGACCCAAUACAGGGUCCAUUUGGUUCAAAAUUGAGGAACUUGAGAAGGCUACCGAUAAUUUUUCAUCCAAGAACUUCAUUGGCCGAGGUGGGUUUGGGAUGGUGUUCAAGGGAACCCUGUCUGAUGGAACCGUGGUGGCGGUUAAAAGGAUCUUGGAAUCUGAUUUUCAAGGGAAUGCUGAGUUUUGUAAUGAGGUGGAGAUCAUUAGCAACCUCAAGCACCGGAAUCUGGUGCCCCUUAGGGGGUGUUGUGUGGCUGAGGAGGAUGAGAAUUGUGAUGAAAGGGGAAGCAGCCAAAGGUAUCUUGUGUAUGAUUACAUGCCAAAUGGGAACCUGGAAGACCAUAUCUUUUUAUCAUCAACGGAGGACUCUCAGAAAUCAAAAGGGUUGUCAUUGACUUGGCCUCAGAGGAAAAGCAUAAUCUUGGAUGUGGCAAAGGGGUUGGCCUAUUUGCACUAUGGAGUUAAACCAGCAAUUUUCCACAGGGAUAUCAAGGCCACCAAUAUACUACUUGAUUCAGAUAUGAGGGCAAGAGUUGCUGACUUUGGACUUGCAAAACAAAGCAGGGAGGGUCAGUCUCAUCUCACUACUAGAGUUGCUGGAACUCAUGGAUAUCUGGCACCAGAAUAUGCACUCUAUGGUCAACUCACUGAGAAGAGUGAUGUGUAUAGCUUUGGUGUGGUUGUUUUGGAGAUAAUGUGUGGGAGGAAGGCUCUUGACUUGUCUUCAUCAGGGUCACCAAGGGCAUUCUUGAUCACAGAUUGGGCUUGGUCAUUGGUGAAGGCUGGGAAGAUAGAAGAAGCUCUUGAUGGUUCCUUGGUGAAGGAUAAGGAUGAGAGCUUUCCUAGUUCAAAUCCAAAGAGCAUAAUGGAGAGGUUUCUUCUGGUGGGAAUUCUGUGCUCUCAUGUCAUGGUUGCUUUGAGGCCAACAAUUGCUGAUGCUUUGAAGAUGUUGGAAGGUGACAUUGAGGUUCCACAAAUCCCUGAUCGCCCCAUGCCACUUGGCCAUCCUUCUUCCUUUUACAAUAAUGAUCAUGGCAGUACUUUUAGCAUAUCUCCUGCAUUAAGCGGCCCCAAAUUGCAAACUGGAGACAUGCUCAGGUAAAUUAAUGAAGAAGUUCCCUUAUAUUGCUUAGAAUGUAGAAAGCAAAAAGAAGUGGAAGCUGUUUUCAUUCUAAAGUCUGACAAGGGUCCAGUCAAAUCAUGUUUGGUAACACCACCACUUCAUUUGAGGUCUAUUAUUGAGAACUAAGCCCUUCAAAGAGAUACGCAAGUCCAGAAUGUUGCAUAUUAUUUUUUUCAUUUGCAGGCCAUUGAACGGAACAAAAGCAAAAAAAAAAAAAAAUAUUGUUUUCGCUUUUGAUCUUCCCCCCCCCCCCCCCCCCCCAGUAAAUACAGUUUUGAUAUAUUAUGAAUAUCUUAGAUAGCUUUGCAAAUACUGUAAAAAUUCUGUAUAAAAUAUGUAUAUGGUUUUGAUUUUUUAUUUUAUUUUCAGAGACUUAUUAGUUUUA